rnacentral:rRNA from 1 species
UACGUAGGGGGCAAGCGUUGUCCGGAAUCAUUGGGCGUAAAGCGCGUGUAGGCGGCUCGAUAAGUCUGCUGUGAAAGUUCAGGGCUCAACCCUGAAAUGCCGGUGGAAACUGUCGAGCUAGAGUCCGGAAGAGGCGAGUGGAAUUCCUGGUGUAGCGGUGAAAUGCGCAGAUAUCAGGAGGAACACCAAUGGCGAAGGCAGCUCGCUGGGACGGUACAGACGCUGAGACGCGAAAGCGUGGGGAGCAAACAGG